CCUACGGGGGGCAGCAGUGAGGAAUAUUGGUCAAUGGCCGGAAGCCUGAACCAGCCAAGUCGCGUGCAGGAUGACGGCCCUACGGGUUGUAAACCGCUUUUAUCCGGGAAUAACGCGCCUUACGUGUACGGCUUUGCAUGUACCGUGUGAAUAAGGACCGGCUAAUUCCGUGCCAGCAGCCGCGGUAAUACGGAAGGUGCGGGCGUUAUCCGGAUUUAUUGGGUUUAAAGGGAGCGUAGGCCGCAUGUCAAGUGUGCUGUGAAAGGUCCGGGCUCAACCCGGGCCUUGCAGCGCGAACUGGCGUGCUUGAGUCGGCGGAAAGCAGGCGGAAUGCGUCGUGUAGCGGUGAAAUGCAUAGAUAUGACGAAGAACCCCGAUUGCGAAGGCAGCUUGCUGCAGCGGAACUGACGCUGAUGCACGAAAGCGCGGGUAUCGAACAGGAUUAGAUACCCUGGUAGUC
rnacentral:rRNA from 1 species